GUGCUCAUAAGAAGGAGAGAGGGUUGGCAUCUCCCCCGACAGGGACGGGAACGGCCUUCGGGCCUUAACUGUUACCAACACAGCCGGUUAAGGCUUCCCGCUUCGGUGGAUCUAUAACCCUUUUUUUUA